rnacentral:miRNA from 1 species
GCUGACACAUCCCGGCCAAUCUCGGGCAGACCCUCCCUCCCAGACCCUCCCACCUCCUGGACAGCAUCCAUGUUGAAGCUGCCUUCAACAUGGAUGCUGUCCAGGAAGUAGGAGGGACUGGGAGGGAGGGUCUGCCGGAGAUUGGCCGGGAUGUGUCAG